rnacentral:lncRNA from 1 species
CUACUCGAUUUUCUCACCAUAAUUCAUCAUUUCCUCAUCAAUUCACUUGAAAUAAAAUCAAAAUCAUCAUCAAUAUUCCACAUGGAGAAUUCGGCCAAUGAUGGGUGAUGGGAGAAAAUGAAUUUUUCUUGUUGGUUUUUCAUGCUACACAUCAUUAACUAACUAAAAACACUAAAAUAUCUUAAAAUCUAACCAAAUCAAGCAUCAAAACUCCUCCCCCAUGUCCGGCCAACAAGAGACCCAUCAUGAAACCAUGUGAUUCAACCAUGGAAAAUGCUAAAGAAUGUAUGGGAAAGGUAGAUCACAAGCUAGAAUUGAAAAAUCUUACCUUUUUUCACUUGUUUCCUUGAAUUUUCACACUUUUCCCUUGAAUUUUUCCACCUAUGGUUUUUGUUUUUCUUUUCUUCCUUUGUUCUUCCUUUGGCCGGCCAUAAUGAAGAGAAAUAGGCUGAUUUUGCGGUGAUUUUAAAGCUAAAUAAUAAAUGGAUAUAAACUUACCCAUUAAGCAAUCUCUCUCCACCACUUAAAUUUCCUCAAUUAUCCAUGAUAAUAUUAGGUAAAAUCCAUGUGCUGGAAAAGUGUUGGGUGGUGUAAAAUUACAAUUUUGCCCUUGGGGUGGCAAAAUGACUAUUUCACCCUUAUGUUAGGAAAAAUGUCAGAAUUAAAAUUUUUCACUUCUCAAACUCAAAUUAUGUUCUAAAUAGUCAAUCUUGAUCAAAAACUUCUUCCAACAUUCACAUCUUAACCUCGGGUGUCAAAAUGACCAUUUUGCUCUUAGAUCAUGAAAAUUCCAAUUUGACUCCAAAUCGGUCAUCGAACUCCGAAUCACCAUUUUAAGUCAUUUUGAGGUUUUAAAAUUCUCAAUUUCAUAUUAAAAUCUCUAUUUGGUCUAGUUCGAGAGUUGCACCACUUGGUACACUAUCGACUUUUGACAAUUUUUCGGGGCUUUCCAAGUAUGCAAGCAUAUUGUCAAUCACAUGAAUGACAUGGCAAGUAUUUUAUAUGGUCGGGCUUGACAGAUACAUUCUAGAAUGUAUAAAUAGAAUUGUUACAAAAUUGGCUUCUCAAGUGAUUUUAAAGAGGUUUUCAAGAUUAAAUGUUUUAUAAUGAUUUAUGUGAAAAUGUUUUCCAUGCAAAGUUAUUUAGAGGAUGAUUAAAUGCUAUGUUUCAUGAACAUCAUAGUAAUGUGAAAGGAUUUGUGAAUCAUAUGUAUUUAUAAUUGCAUGGGUAUGAAAAACUCAUAUCCCCUGGUUUGUCCCUUUCCCUGUAUCCACUUACGGAGUCUUUAUGACUCACACUUAUGUUCCCUCACUAUUUUUGUCAUAGGUCGAUGAUAGCACUCUCUUGCUAGUAGCCAGUGUCAUGAAGACAUGAUCCAUUCAUUUCUCAUUGGUAGGUGAAUAGCAGCCUUUCAAUACCUAGUGAAUCGGGUCAUGUUCCACUAACGAGUCAGUUUAUGUUAUGUUUAUGUUUACAGACUGUGAACUUGUUGUAAUGGAUUAUGAACAAGUUCUGUUAAUGUAGCCAAAUGUUUGGGCAGUUUACAUUAUGAAUGUUAUGUUAAAAUGUAUAUAAUGGCUCAAGAGCCCACAUGGACACUCGAGGGUGUUGAGACAUGUAAAUUUUAUGGUGCAUUGGAAAUAUGGCACUCAGAUGAUAUAUGAAAUGUUGCACUUACACUAAUAUGUUGAGAAGUUCCAUAUAUGUGUAAUGUUGCAUAUGAUGGUAUGCAUGAGUUGAUAUUGUAUGCCUAUGGAUGUUUAUGUAUGCUUCUGCAUUGAUGAAUGUUUAAUGAUGUAUGUUAAAGAGGCUUGCUUGGGUGUAACGGGCUAUACCCAUCUAGGUUCAUGCACCGAUUAUGUUUUACCAUAAAAUGGGAUGUGAUAAUAGUAGAAAUAACUAUUUUAAAAGAAAAGAUCAUUUUUACAGCAAAAGAACAAACAAGAAAUGAAAAACUAAAAGGAAGAACAAAGCUUUUUGCAAUUCUUGAUCUUUGAUUUCUUCUCGUUUCUCUUGUUAGAGAGAUUUUUUUUCUUUUCUCACAAAAACUGCCAUUUGUUCACUCUCAGUUAUUUCUCAUUCAACUAUUGAAAAUCACAUAUUUAUAGCCUCCAAAAAAUCCUAAAAAUUCAAUUUUCAAUUGGCCAAAAUCACUUAAUCCACGUUAGAGUGUUGUGGCCUCGCUCCAUGGGCACUAUGGCAUUCUAGCCUUUCAUAUUUUUUUUCAUUGUCUUUCAAUUAGUGUCAUGGCCCUCCUCCUUGGCCACUAUGGUGUUGAGCUCUCAGGUUUUUGUAUGGGAGUAGUGAUGCUUCUUUGGGUGCUACAGCCUUGAGUGCUUCUUGGCCGCAGUGCUGCUCCUUGUAGACCCUUAGUGCAAAAAACUACUUCAGUAACACAUUUUUAAAUGUAAGUUUCUCCCAUCUCAAGGCUGAUAUGGGUACAAUGGUAAACAAGAAAGUUCUAUGUUUGCCUCUUAGUUUUCCUAUUGUUUAAGAAUCAAGUUCAUUGAAUUUCUGUAGCUCAAGUUAUAUCCAAAUAACCGCAACAUAUUCAGUGAAAAUCUGCACUUAAUCUCCAUUGCAUAAUUCAACACCAUUUAGCUUUAUGCAUUUGAUACCCUACAAACAUAAGGAUUAAAUUAGUAUUGACUUAAAUUGAGAAGUUUAACAUGAAAAUGAACUGAAAUUAUGUAAAUUUAACUAAAUCAACAUAUCUUAAACUAAAUAACAAAAUGCAUAAAAACUAACUCAAAAUAACUAAAAUUCAUAAUGCCUUAGCUAAUUUAGCAUCCAAAAUGUGAUUACAUAACUCUAUAUCAUAGAUUUAUCACACCCUAAACUUAAUAUUUGCUAGUCCUCAAGCAAAAACUAAAAUGAAACAAUGUAGUUGAAAACAUCAACUAUGAGAUUGUACCACUUCAUUGAUCACCUUUAAUUUCCUCAUAAAUUACCUUGUCUUCCAAACUCCAAACAAACAUGGACAUUAUAUAAGUUCAUAUUUCAUCCAAGUGAAUGCUUAUUUUUUUAAUGAAUUUUCAUGUGUGUCACGACUCGAAACUCCCUUCGAGCCUGUGACAACCACCGCGAUAUCCCGAUAGACAUUCAUUGCCCGGAAUGCCAACCGAAACCUUGCAAGGCUUUAAUAUCAGUUUUCGCACCUCCCCUGUGAGCAACAGUUGUUAAGUAUCAUGUUUUGAGAGAUUAUAAACUAUUUCCAAAUCAAAACAAUAGAAAAAUAAUUUUUUUCUCACAAGGGCAUUUUGGUCAUUUUUCCUCAAAAAUCUCAAAACUAGCUAAAAAUGUAGUAUGCGAGUGGAAAACACAUAUUUCAUAAUAAAAAAUAAGUUUAGAUGUCUAAAACAUUCAUUUAAAGUGAAACUAUACCUAUUUGAAUAUAAGUAAAAAUAUUCAAUAAAAUAUUCUAUUUUCUUAUAAAACAAUAUUUAUAGAGUUACCGGUAAAUAAUUUUUGUAGCGUAAAAGCUAAAUAAAUUCAUAUAUACUGUAAUACAGAUAACCAAAGUAUAAGAUUUAAUUUACAGUGACACAUGAACCAACGAACGACCAAAAGUAUCAAAAGAGGUAAGCCUACAGUUUUUGAGGAUGCAAGUCCAACUGUAGCCCUCAACGAAAUGAGCUAUCUACAGACUAUCCUGAGCCUAAAAUGGGUGGAAAGGAGGGUGGUGAGAUUAUAUAAUCCCAAUGAGUAAACAAAUACCAUCUAAAAUAUCUAAAGCUGAGUAAAUAGAGACAGAUAAAAUAGUUUAACAUACUGUAAUUCAUCACCUUUCAACUCAUUUCAACCAAAUAAAAUCAAUUCAUAUAAAUUGAGUAAUCAACAUGGCUCUUGAAUUUCUUAAAAGCUUUAGCUCGUGCCAAAAUCAUUCUCAUACUCAGUUAUCAGGGAUACCUUGGCCGAGGGCUAUCCCAACCGAGUCCGCCAAAGCUAUUAAAAAGUUAUGUACGCAUAAAUCAUGUUUUUUUUUUGAAAACAUACCCGUUCCUUGACGUUGGCUGAGUUCACCCUCACGUGGUGGUUUAGCGUGAAGUGAACUCUAAAGUUUUAACCUCAGGAGUUAUCCAACCGCGUCUCUCAUACUGAGGUAUGAAUAUAAUAGGGUUAUCGUGCCCCUCUAAUAGGCUGGUCCACGGAACCCGUCCACUAUAGCGACCAAUUUAUAACCCAUCAAUUCAAUAAAAUUCAACAGCAUGACAUGGUAAUUAUUUUAUUUUACAGCCUCUCAAGGCAAGUCAAUAGUUCAUACAUUUUCAACACAUUUACCAAUUCAACCAUUCAUGCCAAUAUUAUCAUAAGCCAUUCAAUUAAAACCAUGAUUUAUAACACAAUAAUUAGUCUCUAAUUACUCCAUUUUCAAAACCAUCUUUCAAUUUCAAGACAAUUUUAUAAAAUCAUUUCAUUUAAUCACAUUUUGCUUAUAAAACAUAAAGAUUUACCAUUUAAACUCAUUUUCCAUAAAAUCACAAAAACGAAUUAAAAUUCACUUCAGAUAAUCAAGAUGAUGAUAAGGUUACUCACUAUUUCGGCAGUCGAAUUUCGAGUACUCCGAUUCUUGAUCCUAGGGUACUAUCUCUUUACUUUUGCCAGAAAGCUCACCACCUAGACAUAAUGCACAAUAAGCCAUUUACUACAUUUGUGCUAAAUCGUUGUAAAACCAAUUCAGGCUUUAAACUAAUGCAUGAAAUGGGAUGUGAAAUACUCGGGUAACUAUCUAAAUACGGUGUUCAAUAUAAAUUCAAUUAUGUACCUAAAUAAAAUGGUAUUGGCCUAAUUCGAUCUAUCACCCGAUUAAUUGGCCAAUAUGUCCAAUUUAACUCCAAUUAACUCCAUUUUUCUUCCAAUUCUCCAAACCAUCAAACACAAGUCAAAUAGCAUAAAAUUUAGCAAAAUCAUCUUCACAUUUUCUCUUGGGAAUUUCGGCCAUGGUGAGUGCAUCAACACUAUGAUUUUUCCUACUUGAUUUUCUCACCAUAAUUCAUCAUUUCCUAACCAAUUCACUUGAAAUAAAAUCAAAUCCACCAUCCACACUCUACAUGGAAAAUUCGGCCAAUGAUGGGUGAUGGGAGGAAGUGAAUUUUUCUUGUUGGCUUUUCAUGCUACACAUCACUAACUAACUAAAAACACUAAAAUAUCUUGAAAUCUAACCAAAUCAAGCAUCAAAACCUCCCUCUAAGUGUUCGGCCAGCAAGGGAUUCAUCAUGAUUUCAUGUGAUUCAACCAUGGAAAAUAAGAAAAAAUGCUUAAGAAAGAGAGAUCUCAAGCUUAAUUGAAAAAAUCUUACCUUUUUUCACUUGUUUCCUUGAAUUUUCACACUUUUCCCUUGAAUUUUUCCACCUAGGGUUUUUGUUCUUUCUUUUC